rnacentral:lncRNA from 10 species
GGUCGGCUUGCCUCCGCUUGUCCAGAAGUCUCCAGGCUUGGGGCCCUGAUUGCCAGCCGGUGACACUUGGUCUCCCAGCAGCUGCCCCUUGAGGGGAGCGAAGCAAGGUUACAAAGUGCCGGGAGCCGUGCAGGGCCAGUGAACCCCUCGCUGAGACUCAGUUUGCUGCCAUCACAAGUGCUCUGAGAAUCCUGGAGAGGGAGGAUAUUGGAGACAAACGGGACUGCUGCCCGCCUUUUAGGCGACCGUUGGAGGCUGCUCUGUGCCGGACACAGGCAGGGAAAAUGUCAGCCCCGCGAGGGAAAUGGCAAAGGGAAGAUGACAGCAGACGAGAGAAACAACAGCCCCACCUGACACAGCCAGGACCCUGCGGAGAGGCGGCAGGAGCCCCCACUUCCUCGGGACUCAGCCUCUGCACCCCGGGACUGCCCAUGGCCCCUCUGAGGGCUCUCCUCACUCCUUCCUCCCUCAUUAGGGAAGAGGCCAGUACCCAGCAGCCAUGGCCCAAGCGCAGCUCCCACAGCUCAGAAGUCAGCGGAGCAGAGUCCCCAGGAAACCAGGGUCAGGGAUGGAGGCUGCUGAGGAGCGGGUCUGGGAGGUGGAGGCCAGAUACAAGAAAACCACAGUACCAGUAAAUGACAAAGGCUGGAUCUUAACCCAAGUCCUCCGACUCUGAAGGCCAUACCCAACAGGUCCCAUUUUAUUUGUUUUACUUUUUUUUAAUUGAAGAAAAAAAAACUAGCAUUCCCCUACAGUGCCCCCCACCUGGUGGGGACAUCUUGGGUUGGCAAGGCCACCACUUUCAAGAGUAGAAGUGUUUUUCAGCAGGAGGAGUUGGCUGCACCAAAGGAGCUCAGGAGAAGCUGGAGUCUCAGGCCCAGCAGGAACAGCCAGAGGUUUUGCAGCUUUGCCCAGCGGCUGGGUUCGCCGAAGGGUCUCCCUGGGGGUUCCCAGCAUGAGCCGAAGCCACCCUCCCCUGUGGGAUCUGUGAGGCCAGGCAUUGGGCCUCUUUAGGCCUCAGUUUCCUCCCCUGUCAUAGGCAACUGACAGUCCCUCUGGAGCGCCACUGGGGCUGCAGAGGGAGGCCGGAGAGAUGGUGCCCCCCCUCCUCCCCGCCACCCCCACACACAGCCCUCAGCAGGAUGGUGGCUGCCUGGCCGAUUGCUUUUGCAUUUGCAGCAGAGCGGGGGAGUGAGGCCAAGCUGAGUGCCCCCUCCCCCUGCCCAGCCAGCUCAGACCCAGGCGGUGGAGCAGGAAGGCUCUGGGGAAAACAGUGUGAGUCACCGGGCGGCCAGAGUGUGUCCUUCCCUGCUAGCGCACUACACGGCAGGUUUCAUAGCUUGACAGCAAAGUGUUUGAAAACGAAGAGCAGGAAUUCCGCGGUUCCUGCCCGGCCUCGCCAUCCAGCUGGGAGAAGAGCAUGGUCAUUUC